AGAGUUUGAUCCUGGCUCAGGAUGAACGCUCGCUACACGCUCAACACAUGCAAGUCGAGGGGCAUGCAUGACGGAAGCUCGCUUCCGUUGAUGGCGACCGGCGCACGGGUGAGUCAACGCGUAUCCAACCUGCCCUUGUCCAUCGGAUAACCCGUCGAAAGGCGGACUAACACGGUAUGCAGUCCACAGCAGGCAUCUAACGUGGACGAAAUGUGAAGGAGAAGGAUGGGGAUGCGUCUGAUUAGCUUGUUGGCGGGGUAACGGCCCACCAAGGCGACGAUCAGUAGGGGUUCUGAGAGGAAGGUCCCCCACAUUGGAACUGAGACACGGUUCCAAACUCCUACGGGAGGCAGCAGUGAGGAAUAUUGGUCAAUGGGCGAGAGCCUGAACCAGCCAAGUAGCGUGCAGGAAGACGGCCCUAUGGGUUGUAAACUGCUUUUAUACGGGGAUAAAGUGAGCCACGUGUGGCUUAUUGCAGGUACCGUAUGAAUAAGGACCGGCUAAUUCCGUGCCAGCAGCCGCGGUAAUACGGAAGGUCCGGGCGUUAUCCGGAUUUAUUGGGUUUAAAGGGAGCGUAGGCCGUCUGUUAAGCGUGUUGUGCAAAUGUCGGGGCUCAACCUGGGCAUUGCAGCGCGAACUGGCAGACUUGAGUGCGCAGGAAGUAGGCGGAAUUCGUCGUGUAGCGGUGAAAUGCUUAGAUAUGACGAAGAACUCCGAUUGCGAAGGCAGCCUGCUGUAGCGUAACUGACGCUGAAGCUCGAAAGCGUGGGUAUCGAACAGGAUUAGAUACCCUGGUAGUCCACGCGGUAAACGAUGGAUGCUCGCUGUUUGCGUCUGACGUAAGCGGCCAAGCGAAAGCGUU
rnacentral:rRNA from 1 species